GCUUCUCGCUGACGAGCGGCGGACGGGUGAGUAAUACUUAGGAAUCUACCUAGUAGUGGGGGAUAGCUCGGGGAAACUCGAAUUAAUACCGCAUACGACCUACGGGAGAAAGGGGGCAACUUGUUGCUCUCGCUAUUAGAUGAGCCUAAGUCGGAUUAGCUAGAUGGUGGGGUAAAGGCCUACCAUGGCGACGAUCUGUAGCUGGUCUGAGAGGAUGAUCAGCCACACCGGGACUGAGACACGGCCCGGACUCCUACGGGAGGCAGCAGUGGGGAAUAUUGGACAAUGGGGGCAACCCUGAUCCAGCCAUGCCGCGUGUGUGAAGAAGGCCUUUUGGUUGUAAAGCACUUUAAGCAGUGAAGAAGACUCCAUGGUUAAUACCCAUGGACGAUGACAUUAGCUGCAGAAUAAGCACCGGCUAACUCUGUGCCAGCAGCCGCGGUAAUACAGAGGGUGCAAGCGUUAAUCGGAAUUACUGGGCGUAAAGCGAGCGUAGGUGGCUUGAUAAGUCAGAUGUGAAAGCCCCGGGCUUAACCUGGGAACGGCAUCUGAUACUGUUAGGCUAGAGUAGGUGAGAGGAAGGUAGAAUUCCAGGUGUAGCGGUGAAAUGCGUAGAGAUCUGGAGGAAUACCGAUGGCGAAGGCAGCCUUCUGGCAUCAUACUGACACUGAGGUUCGAAAGCGUGGGUAGCAAACAGGAUUAGAUACCCUGGUAGUCCACGCCGUAAACGAUGUCUACUAGUCGUUGGGUCCCUUGAGGACUUAGUGACGCAGCUAACGCAAUAAGUAGACCGCCUGGGGAGUACGGCCGCAAGGUUAAAACUCAAAUGAAUUGACGGGGGCCCGCACAAGCGGUGGAGCAUGUGGUUUAAUUCGAUGCAACGCGAAGAACCUUACCUGGUCUUGACAUAUCUAGAAUCCUGCAGAGAUGCGGGAGUGCCUUCGGGAAUUAGAAUACAGGUGCUGCAUGGCUGUCGUCAGCUCGUGUCGUGAGAUGUUGGGUUAAGUCCCGCAACGAGCGCAACCCUUGUCCUUAGUUACCAGCGGUUUGGCCGGGAACUCUAA
rnacentral:rRNA from 1 species